GUGAACGAGCGACGCCGCGUGGAGGACGAAGGCCUUCGGGUUGUAAACUCCUGUCGAGGGGAAGGAAGGGGCCGCGAGGCCCUUGACCGCUCCCUGGAGGAAGCACGGGCUAAGUUCGUGCCAGCAGCCGCGGUAAGACGAACCGUGCGAACGUUAUUCGGAAUCACUGGGCUUAAAGCGCGUGUAGGCGGGGCGGUGCGUCGGUCGUUGAAAUCCCCCGGCUCAACCGGGGAAGUGGCGCCGAUACGACCGCCCUGGAGCGACGUAGGGGGAACUGGAACUUCCGGUGGAGCGGUGAAAUGCGUUGAGAUCGGAAGGAACGCCCGUGGCGAAAGCGAGUUCCUGGACGUCGGCUGACGCUGAGACGCGAAAGCCAGGGGAGCGAACGGGAUUAGAUACCCCGGUAGUCCUGGCCGUAAACGAU
rnacentral:rRNA from 1 species